GACGAACGCUGGCGGCGUGCCUAAUACAUGCAAGUAGAACGCACAGUUUAUACCGUAGCUUGCUACACCAUAGACUGUGAGUUGCGAACGGGUGAGUAACGCGUAGGUAACCUGCCUGGUAGCGGGGGAUAACUAUUGGAAACGAUAGCUAAUACCGCAUAAUAUUCAUUAUUGCAUGAUAAUUAAUUGAAAGGUGCAAUUGCACCACUACCAGAUGGACCUGCGUUGUAUUAGCUAGUAGGUGAGGUAACGGCUCACCUAGGCGACGAUACAUAGCCGACCUGAGAGGGUGAUCGGCCACACUGGGACUGAGACACGGCCCAGACGCCUACGGGAGGCAGCAGUAGGGAAUCUUCGGCAAUGGACGGAAGUCUGACCGAGCAACGCCGCGUGAGGGAAGAAGGUUUUCGGAUCGUAAAGCUCUGUUGUAAGAGAAGAACGGGUGUGAGAGUGGAAAGUUCACACUGUGACGGUAUCUUACCAGAAAGGGACGGCUAACUACGUG
rnacentral:rRNA from 1 species